CCUACGGGAGGCAGCAGUGGGGAAUAUUGCACAAUGGGGGAAACCCUGAUGCCGCGACGCCGCGUGAGUGAAGCAGUAUUUCGGUAUGUAAAGCUCUAUCAGCAGGGAAGAAAAUGACGGUACCUGAUUAAGAAGCCCCGGCUAACUACGUGCCAGCAGCCGCGGGUAUACGUAGGGGGCAAGCGUUCUCCGGAUUUACUGGGUGUAAAGGGGGCGUAGACGGCAGUGCAAGUCUGAAGUGAAAUGCCGGGGCUUAACCCCGGAACUGCUUUGGAAACUGUGCAGCUAGAGUGCAGGAGAGGUAAGUGGAAUUCCUAGUGUAGCGGUGAAAUGCGUAGAUAUUAGGAGGAACACCAGUGGCGAAGGCGGUUUACUGGACUGUAACUGACGUUGAGGCUCGAAAGCGUGGGGAGCAAACAGGAUUAGAGACCCCGGUAGUC
rnacentral:rRNA from 1 species